rnacentral:lncRNA from 12 species
ACCCAGUAAGAGUGCUAAGCACGUAUGUAUCUUUGGAGUCAUUGGCUCCUUCCCAAAAAAAUGCUUGUGAACUCAAAUUGAGUUGUAAUUGUCAACAUUUAAGGGAGUUUGUAAAAAGUCACUAUUCGGUAAACUGUAUCAUAUGGUACAGUAUGUGUCAGGCACGUGCUAGGUGCUGGAGAUACAGAAGUUAUCAAAUAGGCAGAACCUGUUCUCAUGUUGCUGUGUUUUUGGAAAAAAGAUGUUUUGCUUCACAAAAGCCAAAUCAGACCCCAGGGAGCCUGGCAGGGGAUCCACUCUGGGGUCAAUGCCAGAGACUGCUCAGCUUGCUAUAGCUGCUGUCUCCCCUCAUCCAAAUCCAGAGCUCACUGCAGUCUCAAGCCCACUUGCUGUGCAUUCCAGACAUGGGUGCAAAUGCUGAGUACCUUUGCUGUGAGAUAAAUGUUAAACAGAAGCUGGUGGGAGCUGUUGUUAGUUGAGUAAUCAGUGGAUGAAAUCACCUAUGAAAUGAAAACAAAGCAAAAACAAUAUAAAAACAAAAAUUAACAUUACAUGAACUACAUCAGAAGAAGACUACCCUCCUUGGGGCAGGUUAAGAAGCCUCCUAGGUAAAAUGAAAGUAUUUUACAAUCAUUUUUCAAGCACAAAAUGAGCAGAAAGAUACACAGUCUUCAAUGGUGUUUUCCUUUACUGUUUUGCAGAUCUGUCUAGAAACUCCAGUGUCCAGGGAGACAGCUCAAGGAUGACCAUCUUGCUUGAACUUGGCAAGUUCCUUGUUGCGAUUUCUAACAUGGAAUUGUGAAAUCAUCCUGUUGGAAACUGUGAGUGCCUUGAUCAAUUUUUUAAAAAUCGUCAUAUUUUAAAAUAUUCAUAUGUUUGUUGUAGACAAUAGUAUUCUCUCUCUCCUUCCUUUCUUCCUUCCUUCCUUCUUUCCUUCCUUCCUUCCUUCCUUCCUUCCUUCCUUCCUUCCUUCCUUCCUUCCUUCCUUCCUUCUUUCUUUCUUUCUUUCUUUCUUUCUUUCUUUCUUUCUUCUUCCUUUUUUUCAGUACACUGCUGUUCAUUCAGUCAUCCAGUGACAAACAUUUUGGUCACCUGUAGGAGUGUGCAUGUGGGUAUGGCAGGAUUUU